AUUGAACGCUGGCGGCAGGCCUAACACAUGCAAGUCGAACGAGUGGCGGAAGGGUGAGUAAUGUCUGGGAAACUGCCUGCUGGAGGGGGAUAACUACUGGAAACGGUAGCUAAUACCGCAUACCAUCGGAUGUGCCCAGCGGGGAUUAGCUAGUAGGUGGGGGAACGGCUCACAUAGGAGACGAUCCCUAGCUGGUCUGCGAGGAUGACCACCCACACUGUAACUGAGACACGGUCCAGACUCCUACGGGAGGCAGCAUUGGGGAAUAUUGCACAAUGGGCGCAAGCCUGAUGCAGCCAUGCCGCGUGUAUGAAGAAGGCCUUCGGGUUGUAAAGUACUUUCAUCGGGGAGGCGUUACCCGCAGAAGAAGCACCGGCUAACUCCGUGCCAGCAGCCGCGGUAAUAC
rnacentral:rRNA from 1 species